UACAGAGGUCCCGAGCGUUGUUCGGAUUUAUUGGGCGUAAAGGGUGCGUAGGCGGCGGAGUAAGUUGGGUGUGAAAUCCCGGGGCUUAACCUCGGAAUUGCAUUCAAUACUGCUUCGCUUGAGUACUGGAGAGGAGGCUGGAAUUGCCGGUGUAGUGGUGAAAUGCGUAGAGAUCGGCAGGAACACCCAGGGGGAAACCAGCCGACUGGGCAUCUACUGACGCUGAGGUGCGAGAGCGUGGGGAGCGAACCGG
rnacentral:rRNA from 1 species